rnacentral:rRNA from 1 species
UACGAAGGGGGCUAGCGUUGUUCGGAAUUACUGGGCGUAAAGCGCACGUAGGCGGAUUGUCAAGUCAGAGGUGAAAUCCCGGGGCUCAACCUCGGAACUGCCUUUGAUACUGUCAAUCUAGAGUCCGGAAGAGGUGAGUGGAAUUCCUAGUGUAGAGGUGAAAUUCGCAGAUAUUAGGAAGAACACCAGUGGCGAAGGCGGCUCACUGGUCCGGAACUGACGCUGAGGUGCGAAAGCGUGGGGAGCAAACAGG